GCGGGUGUAGUUUAGUGGUAAAACACAAGCUUCCCAAGCUUGCGUCGCGAGUCCGAUUCUCGUCACCCGCU
rnacentral:tRNA from 1 species